UCUCGCAUUCGCCCCGACGUCGCUAACGACGUAUCGAUCCCUCGGCUCACCACGAGACACCCCGUUCUCUCCGUUCGGCUCGGCUCUCGCGUUUCGUGAUUCGUGAGACGUAAAAAUAACAAAGAGAGAAAGAAUAUCACAGUCGCUCCUCGCUCGUAUGCCAGAUGAUUCGUCGGAUUCACAUGUGAAGCUCGUGUCAACGAUGAUCGCGUUUAACGUUCUGACUGACACUCGCAUGGGGAAACGCUGACAACGUUCUUCGUUAAAUCUUCCUGUUAGAUUAAUUUUAGGUUAAACAUGAAGCCAGGAAUGCAGGAAUGUUACAAUCGCAGCAGAGUCUGUAUGGUAGUAGCGCAAUCUUGCUUGUGUACGCCAAUUUGAAUUUGUCAUGUGUUGUCCUGAAAUAUCUUAGAAAAUAUAUACUGCUCUUUUUUCACGUAA
rnacentral:lncRNA from 13 species